ACCUGAGGAGCCAGCCCUCCUCCCGCACUCAAACUUGGAGCACUUGACCUUUGGCUGUUGGAGGGGGCCGGCCCGCGGGU
ensembl:miRNA